rnacentral:rRNA from 1 species
UGGCGGACGGGUGAGUAACGCGUAAAGAACUUGCCCUUUAGACUGGGAUAACAGAGGGAAACUUCUGAUAAUACUGGAUAAGUUAGUAUAUCGCAUGAUAUGCAAAUGAAAGCUACGGCACUAAAGGAGAGCUUUGCGUCCUAUUAGCUAGUUGGUAAGGUAAGAGCUUACCAAGGCGAUGAUAGGUAGCCGGCCUGAGAGGGUGGACGGCCACAAGGGGACUGAGAUACGGCCCUUACUCCUACGGGAGGCAGCAGAU